CAACGCUCAGAUAGAGACUGAAUCGAGCGGAGCAGAGCUGUAAACGUGUCUUAAACGUGGCCGAGAGAACCGAUAUACAGUCGGAGCCACGGAAGAGAUAUCCGUUUUAAGCCAUAAGCAAGGCGAACAAAAAACAGGGCCACUUACCUACAUACAUAUGUAUGUACGUGUUUUUCUCCCAAAGCGAAGUACACCCAAUGUCACGGUCAGCGACACCCGCGACGUAACCAGGUUUCGUCUUCAUCGUCGAUGGAGGGAUCCAUUUCUUGGUUUUACCCGUAAAUAUUGCAUUUAAAUGGCGGACAUCGCGGAAACGACCUCACUUUUAAGUUGGCGACAAACAGAAAUUGAGAUGUACAGGAAUUUAAUAUUUCAUUAUUAAAAAUAUCAAAACGAA